rnacentral:misc_RNA from 1 species
UAAUAAGUGUUUUAUGGCACUUUUUAAAUCCAUAUCCACCUUGUGUGCAAUGUCAGUCGAUCUUCUUCAUGGAGAUUCGACCCAAACAUCAACCUUUAUUUUUAACUCUUUGUCUGAAAAAUAUUAUGAAUAAACAAUUCAAAAUC